rnacentral:tRNA from 1 species
GCCGGAGUGGCUUAAUGGCAAAGCAACCGCCUUGUAAGCGGUAGAUUGCGGGUUCGAUUCCCGCCUCCGGCUCCA